UUGGUCAAAAUACCAAUUAGUUCAAACAACUAUCAGAAUUGGACUGCCUGUCUAAAAGCAUUAGUGUCUGUCUUUCUGAUUGAUGGCACUGAUGGAGUGGAAGGAGGGAGUCGUGGCACCAGGAAUCCAAGUCUAGGGUUUUCCUUUUCUUGGAGGGCUCAAAAGGAAGGUUGGGAUUUUUCCCUACUGGACUCAUUUUUUAGGUUGGCCCGGCAGCAGCUGGUCAGGUGAACCAGUGGGGACGAUGGGAAGAGGACACACCUGGAGGGAGAGCACGUUUCUCCUGUAAGGGACAUAUGUGGGGUCCAGAGACUGUGUGUUUUGGAGUUUAGAGUGUGUGUGAGCGAGUAGGUGGUGUGUUAUUAUAGAACAAGGUACCCAGCUAACGACAAACAUUCCCACAACUUUAGAGAACGUUCCCUUAAGAGGAAUGUAGGAAUGUUCCUGUGAUGUGCAAUAAAUGUUUGCAAGAGACCAUUCCUUUAAU
rnacentral:lncRNA from 13 species